CCGGGUUCCUCGAGGACGAGACCCUUGUUUAUUGGCUGGUGAACAACAGCUUCUUGGAGAGAUACUAUGGCAACGACAGAGUGAAGACGGGGAGGGUCAGGAUGAUGGAAGAUGGUAACGUGGCGCUGCUGGAGAGAAAACUGAUAUUUAAAUGCGUUCACGAGCAAGACUUCAAUUACACGUUCACCUGCGUAGCACAAAAUCCUGUCGGUGUUGACGUCAGAACCGUGCAGCUCAAGAAAAUAUCCAGCAGAAGACAAAAGAGACUGGCACGAUGUGAUGACUUAGCGAAGAGAUCAUAGAGGAGAAUGCCAAAUUAAACAGGGAAAGAGGAUCAGAGAAGAGGAAGAAGGACAACA